UGGGGAAUAUUGCACAAUGGGCGCAAGCCUGAUGCAGCAACGCCGCGUGAACGAUGAAGGUCUUCGGAUCGUAAAGUUCUGUUGCAGGGGAAGAUAAUGACGGUACCCUGUGAGGAAGCUCCGGCUAACUACGUGCCAGCAGCCGCGGUAAUACGUAGGGGGCUAGCGUUAUCCGGAUUUACUGGGCGUAAAGGGUGCGUAGGUGGUCUUUCAAGUCGGUGGUUAAAGGCUACGGCUCAACCGUAGUUAGCCUCCGAAACUGGAAGACUUGAGUGCAGGAGAGGAAAGUGGAAUUCCCAGUGUAGCGGUGAAAUGCGUAGAUAUUAGGAGGAAUACCGGUGGCGAAGGCGACUUUCUGGACUUUUACUGACGCUCAGGUACGAAAGCGUGGGGAGCAAACAGG
rnacentral:rRNA from 1 species